UGUUGAAGUUGUUUCUGUUGGGUUUUCAGCAGUAGUUGGUGUAUUUUCAGAUGGUGUUACAGUUGUUGGUGUUACAGAAGUUGUUUCUGUUGGGUUUUCAGAUGGUGUUACAGUUGUUGGUGUUACAGAAGGUGUUUUUGGUGGGUUUUCAGAUGGUGUUACAGUUGUUGGUGCUACAGAAGGUGUUUGUGUUGAUGACAAAGUUGUUUCUGUUGGGUUUUCA